GGCUUCAACUUCUGUCUCUGAUGGUGUGAUUUUCGGGGGACCACGGACUGCGGGCAUAACAAGGCGUCUGGCUCUCACAUUUGCAUGCUCACAGACACACUGUUAUUACAUUUUUCCACAUGGUCUCUGAGUUAGCCAAAGAAUCUUAGACCUGCACAGAUCAACCAAAGUUGGCACUGAUUCUAAAGGAGGAAUAAUCCUGUUUCUCCCAACACCAAAUUGGCAUUAAACUAGGAGGUGGGGAAGGAAAAACUAUCAUAAUUAAAUAGUUAUGAGAACUAACAAUCAAGUGCAAUGUGUAGGCUUUGAUUAGCUUCUUGUUUGAACAAACUAAUGGAUUUUUUUAGAUAAUCAAUUUGAAUGUUGAAGAGAUAUUAGAUGACAUUAAGAAAUGACUACUAAUUUUGUUAGGUAUGAAUAGUACAGUGAUUAUGCUAUUUCUUAUGUCUAUCUUGCAGAGAUACAUACUGAACCAUUUGAAGAAUCUCUGAGAUUUGCCUGUGGAAUACUGCAGUAACAAGUGAGGCAAGAAGGAAAGAAACAAGGCAAAAGAUGAAGCAAAAUUGGCAAAAUGUCAAAAUCUGCUGAAGUUCUAUGGGAGGUUCAUGGGUUUGUUAUACCGUUCACUGAGUCUUAUGUGUGCUAGAAGAUUUUCACAAUAAAAUAUUUUUAAAUUUUAAAAAAAUUCUUCCCAUAUUGACUAACUAAAUGGUGUGUUCUGUUAUACCAGACACAUGGGCAAUGAAAUAGCUCCACUUACCGGGAGCAGCAAGCAAAGAAGGAAAAGAAAGGAAGGCCAAUGGCUGCCCACGCCUCACCGCGGCUGCCCAUGCCAUAAUGCUGCCUCACUGCUGAGCCCAGAGAAGCACGGCGUCUCAGACUCAGCACUCCCCUGAAUGAGUUUCAGUAUCACACAAAGGAUCACAAUACAAAAGGCCAGGUGGAUGACUUCUUGUGAAGGUGCUUGUAUACUUACAGUGUAUAAUUUGUGUGUACAUCUAUGUAAAGACAUUAGUUGUCUGGGUUCACUUCUGAGAAUGAAAAAUUUGGGUUCCUUAUUCUUUCAAGGAAUUGGUAUCCAAACCAAGAACCAAACCAAGAAUAAAAAAAAGCUUCAUUUAGAACUUUGGUUUUAUUUCCUGAAGUCUUUUUUUUAAAAAAUAAAAUUAGGUGUAAAGGUUUGUGCUAACA
rnacentral:lncRNA from 1 species